rnacentral:rRNA from 1 species
AAAGCCUGAUGGAGCAACGCCGGGUGUGUGAUGAAGCCUUUCGGGUCGUAAAGCACUGUUGUAUGGGAAGAAAAGUUAAGGUAGGGAAUGACCUUACCCCGACCGGUACCAUACCAGAAAGGGAGGGCUAAAUACGUGCCAGCAGCCGCGGUAAUACGUAUGUCCCGAGCGUUAUCCGGAUUUAUUGGGCGUAAAGCGAGCGCAGACGGUUGGUUAAGUCUGAUGUGAAAGCCCGGAGCUCAACUCCGGAAAGGCAUGGAAACU